rnacentral:lncRNA from 1 species
CAAAAAGUACGUAUACGAGCUGUUUAAUUCGAUAUUCAAAAAUUCGCGAAUAAUUAGCGAAUAAUUCGUGACUUAACUAACAAAGGUGUUGAUCCCAUCACACAAAAAUAAAAUAAAUAUACAAAUCUAUUUGAACUGUAGCCCUUGGAUCUACUUUUUGAUUACUAAGAAUUUUUGGAUCAAACACUAUUCCACUUCCACCUACUACCACCUAUCAUCAUCAUCCCAACCCUGCAUCUCUCCAUGGUUUGCUUUUGAAAAUAUUCUAGCUCAACUUUAUAUAUAUAUAUAUAUAUAUAUAUAUAUAUAUAUAUAUAUAUAUAUAUAUAUAUAUAUAUAUAUAUAUAUGCUACUAUACUAUCAAUAGUACCAAGCCCUUGGUACUAUUGAGUUUUCGGCCGUUGGAUGAAAGGAUGUGCGGUUAGGAUGAUAGUAGUCCCCUAGAGUUGAGUAGGUGAUUGGUUUAAUAGUAUAAUCUAACGGGUGAAAAUGAUCAAAAGGUAGAUUUAACGGUAGAAAACUCAAUAGUACUAAGGGCUUGAUACUAUUAAUAGUAUAGUAGCGGGACUCAUAUAUAUAUAUAUAUAUAUAUGUGUGGUAUAAAGAAUCGACCAUCAUCCCAACCCUACAUCUCUGGUACGUUUCUGGAAGCACGGAGCGCUCCGUACUUUCCAAGUUGUUUUCGAUGUUCAGACUUUCGAAUCGACGAUCAGCUCCGUUAGACUUGAUCUAGAGUAUUUGAAGUAUCUAGAAAAUAAAUUUUGCGAUUUUUUGAUAUCAUUUGCCUAGUGAUCGAAGUGACUCAAAAUCAACGGCUGAAAAUAAAAAUCUUACAAAAUAUGAUGAUAUGACAUUAAAAUUUUAGAUCAAAGUUAUUGAUCCUGUUUUAUAUGGUAUAAAGAAUUUUCUAUCAAAAUUUCAUAUGAUUUGGAUAUUUCUAUAUCGUUAAACUUGCAAAUGGCUCACCACGGCCAUUAAAAUUAUUGAUUUUGAGCCCUUUCAAUCACUAGACAAAUGAUAUAAAAAAAUCACAAAAUUUAUUUUUUAGAUACUUCAAAUACUCUAGAUCAACUCUAACGGAGCCAAUCAUCAAUUCGAAAGUCCAAACAUCAAAAAUAACUUGGAAUCACAGAAGGCUCCGUGCUUCCAAAAGCAUACUAGCCCACUCUAUAUAUAUAU